rnacentral:tRNA from 1 species
UAGGAAGUGGUGUAAAGGAAGCACUAAGAGUUUUGUCCUCUUCAGGAUGGGUUCGAAUCCCUUCUUUCUAA